rnacentral:rRNA from 1 species
ACGAACGCUGGCGGCGUGCUUAACACAUGCAAGUCGAACGGUGAAGCGCCUUCCUUUUUGGUGGGUGUGGAUGAGUGGCGAACGGGUGAGUAACACGUGAGUAACCUGCCCCCUUCUUCUGGAUAACCGCAUGAAAGUGUGGCUAAUACGGGAUAUUCUGGGUCUGUCGCAUGAUGGGUCUGGGAAAGAUAUUGUUUCGGUGGGGGAUGGGCUCGCGGCCUAUCAGCUUGUUGGUGGGUGAUGGCCUACCAAGGCGGUGACGGGUAGCCGGCCUGAGAGGGUGGACGGUCACACUGGGACUGAGACACGGCCCAGACUCCUACGGGAGGCAGCAGGGGGGAAUAUUGCACAAUGGGCGCAAGCCUGAUGCAGCGACGCCGCGUGAGGGAUGGAGGCCUUCGGGUUGUGAACCUCUUUCGCCAGUGAAGCAGGCCUGCCUCGUUUGUGGGUGGGUUGACGGUAGCUGGAUAAGAAGCGCCGGCUAACUACGUG